rnacentral:rRNA from 1 species
AGUGAACGCUGGCGGUAGGCCUAACACAUGCAAGUCGAACGGCAGCACAGUAAGAGCUUGCUCUUACGGGUGGCGAGUGGCGGACGGGUGAGGAAUACAUCGGAAUCUACUUUUUCGUGGGGGAUAACGUAGGGAAACUUACGCUAAUACCGCAUACGACCUACGGGUGAAAGCAGGGGAUCUUCGGACCUUGUGCGAUUGAAUGAGCCGAUGUCGGAUUAGCUAGUUGGCGGGGUAAAGGCCCACCAAGGCGACGAUCCGUAGCUGGUCUGAGAGGAUGAUCCGCCACACUGGAACUGAGACACGGUCCAGACUCCUACGGGGAGCAGCAGUGGGGAAUAUUGGGCGAUGGGCGCAAGCCUGAUCCAGCCAUACCGCGUGGGUGAAGAAGGCCUUCGGGUUGUAAAGCCAUUUUGUUGGGAAAGAAGAACAGCAGGUUAAUACCCCGCUGUUCUGACGGUACCCAAAGAAUAAGCACCGGCUAACUUCGUG